CAGUGUGAUGGAAAGGUAAUUCAGCUGCUGUCUGAGCGCUUUGCGUCCGGAGAGCUUCACAUGCCGUUCCACAGUUUUGUGUCAUGUUUCACCAGACUGCGCAAGCUCUUUGGUAUGUAUGAUUCACAGACCAGUGAGGAGGUGAAAAACAAAGGGAUCAAUGCUUGGCUUCUGCAGUUUCUGAUGCUGUGAAGAUGCUUCAUGAAGACGUUUUCCAAACAAGUCACUGAAGGCUGUUGAUUCCAAAACAGAAACAAAGUACACAAGACUGCAAAACAGACAAUGGCUAUGACUUUGCUGUGCCUUUGUUUUAAUCUAGCUUCAUCUUUCACCAUUCUCAUGCAUCUGGCUAUAGUCUUGAUUUAAAAUGUAGAGGCUCAGGGGCCCAUGGGCCAGAGUCUUUGGUUGAAGCGUAGACUGUAUAUAAAGAUGGAUGACAUAAUGGCUACCCCAAACAUACACAGAGCAGUUCAACUCUGUUAUUAUUUGUUUUGUGUUUUUUUUAAUUUGUGGCUCUUUUU